GCUCAGAGAGGCGGAGAAAGGAAGUCGGAAAACAGAUUUAAACCAAGUUUGAACCGUUGCUCCUGUUUGUCAGUACGAAGAGAAAACGUCGUCAAGGAAGAGGGCUGGAUGCUAAAAAAAACUCUGGAGCUGCUUUUCUGUCGUUAAUGGAGAGAUCUGGAUGCUAAAACAAAUUCUGGAGCUGCUUUUUUGUCGAACACAAGUGAGACUGGACACUGAACACACCUGCGGCGUGAAGGUUUACUGGUUCCGCUGCUGCAGCCUGGAUAGAAACACCAGGGGUCACCUGACAAACCAAACAGGUGUCACCACUUUGUCCACAAUCACAGAGUCUUCAUGCAAUGAAGACGUUCUUUGAGACCAGGACUGAGGCCCCCAGGAUUCAAACUUCACCCAUUAAAUCACAGAUAGAAG